rnacentral:lncRNA from 1 species
GUAAUCUGAACAGCACACCCUUCGCAACGGAAUGGGGAGACAUGACUAUGACUGCCGCUCUUUAUUGUUCUCUCGCCGACGCUUCUCUUUCCGCCGCCACCACCGGAAUCCGCCUCCGGAAUCAAUGCAUCUCCGCCUUUAAGACCCAUUCCUACGGCAUCGACUUUUCCACCUUCCACAAUCGCCAAAGCCACUCUUUUUUACUGCGAGGUUUGUUUUCACUGCUUAUCUUCUCCCUAUGCAUGCUUCACAAUAUAAUUCAAGAUAAACUUUACAACGUUAGUGAUAUCAAUAUUCAAUAUGAAUAUAAGAUAGAGUAAAGAACUAUUUUGCUAUAACAAAUUAGUUAUUUUUUUUGAAAUGUUUUUAUUUUAAUUUAAUUAAAAAUUAUGGUCUCAUAUUAUUUAUCUCACCUCUUUUUUAAAUGUUUUUUCAACACUUCUAUAAUUGGUUCAACAACAACAAUGAACCAAAAAGAUGUUGGUGUAGUAGUGUAAUAGAUGCUUAAGAUGCCCAGAAGUUAAGGGUUCGAUUCCUGUGAGCUACACUUGUUGGGAAGGGCAGUCACGAAUCCCGAAAGGGGUUAAUUCAUUACCCAAAAUGUGAGAGAUACCAUUGGGAGUACGAAAAAAUAACAACAAUCAAGCACAUCCGCAAGGGAAUAUUGAUAAAAUACUUAGGUCUAAAUCUUUUCUCAUGGUUUUGCCUUUGGUUUUUCUUGGUCUCUUUGCCUCUUGAGCCGAAAUUACCUCCAUUUGAUUUACUUUCCUUCUCCGGACUUCUACCAGUCUCUUCCACAUAUGUCCAGACCAGCUAAGGCGGAAUUUUACCAUCUUUUCUCCAAUAGGAACUACCUCAAUCUUCUCCUUAAUACAUUCAUUACUAAUUUUAUUUUUGACUAGUGUGUCCACACAUCCAACGCAAAAUUCACGUUUAAUGAUCUCAAACUAAUUAUUGUAUAUUGAACAGGUUAUUCAAUGAUUACGUUAACAUGGUGUAAAAAAUUAGUGUGAGAAUAUACUAAGCUGAUAUCAAUGUUUCCCUUGCAGUUUAUCCAGUUUUUAUAUGUUAUGAAUGAGUUGAUAUUCUAAGUGCCAAGUUUUUUGUAGUUGCAAAUGAUGCUGAUAGGACAGAACUGUCAUCUGAUCCCACAAAGGAAACAUCAUAUUCCGAGGCUGAUAAGAUUGUAGAUAAUCUGGACUUUGCUGAGCUUUGCAAUGAGUUUGAAUGCAUCAGUAGUCCCUUGGUUGAAUCCACUGCAAGACAACUUGUGCGAGAUAUACUCGAGCUUCGGGAGGGAAAUCGAGCUCUUGGGACCUUUGUUGUUACUGUUAAAUACAAGGUAGGUGCUUCUUCAAUACUUUGAAAAUGACAUUGUUGAUACAUGUCAAAGAAAUUUAACAAAGUUUCACGUUAACUAUCGACUACCUGAGACAUCAUUCACCUUUUAUGAAGGUCCGUCUAUUUAUAUCUUACGCACACUAUGCAGUUUAUGAUGACACAAUUUAUAAUAGCAUCAUUCGAUCCAUAUAGCCCAUCACACCUAGUGGGACUAAUGUUUGGCCGUUGUUGCAAUUUUCUUCCAAAAAUACAUUCUUUCCUCAAAAUCCUUUGUUCAGCAACAGACUUACAGUUUUCCUUUGUAAUUUAGCAAAUUAGUUUGUUUUCAUCGAUCAUUUUUUCGUCUGUUAUAUUUACGAUACUGGCUGUUUCAGGAUCCUGUCAGGAGUUUUACUGGCCGUGAGAAGUACAAAAGACUAUUAUGGGCAACUACUACACUAGACAAGCCAUCCGUGGUGAGUUUUCCGGAUUCGUACUCCUUAAAGAAGCAAUCCAUGAUAUGAGAACUGACAAUUGAUUACAUAUAACUGACAAUCGAUUUUACCAAGCAUAUUUUAAUUUUAAAAAAAGGUGAAACAUUGUUUUAACCCUUCAAAAACAAUGGUUUGGGGGUAUUGAAUGGGUUCCCAAACAUAGCUUUUCUAGUGUCUAUUUUUAGCCACUCAGCAUUUGUUUUUCAACUAUGAGUAUUCAAGUUUAAAAGUUAUUUCCUUCUUCCCAAUUAUUAUAAGAUCAUUGUUUCAGGACAGACAGUGCAGGAAAUGAUCAUGCUGUCAACUAGUGUUUUAAGAAUCAAGUGGACAGUUAGAGGGAAACCCAAAUCUUUUAUUGCUGGAGUAGGAGAUCUGAUUCUUCGAGUUACUUCUCAAUUUACUCUUAACCAAAUUAGCGGUCAAGUCGUUGAGCAUGAAGAAUUCUGGGAUUUAUCAGCUUCAUCUUCUAGCACUAAGGCAUUUUUCUGGGCAUCACGUUUUCUUUUUAGUGCUUCGGAAUCUGUAAAAGACUUGGUUGAUAGUGCUAAAAAUCUAAGUAGUAACUUUUCUACCAAAGAAGAGAACUUGGAAAUAUAUCGAGAUCCUUCUGGUGAUCCAACCAAGGUGAGUACUUUUUUGUAGAUCAGUCCUAAAUGGUUAGAUUCAGUAUAGUAAUUAUUGCUCAUUUUGGAUGGGUUUUAUUUUAGGACAAAAUUUAGGUAUUCUUCUUUUGGUGUCUGUGCUGCAGUUAUAAUAGGAAUGAGGUUAAGAAACCAAAAAGGACACGUUGCAUUAGAAAACCAACUGCAUAAAUCUUUUACUUAAAUACAUCAUAUCCCAAUGCAACAUCUCAUCCCUAAGGAAUGAGGAUAGCAAAACUUUAAGAACAAAACACAUGUAACAAAUAGAUGUUAAACAUGUUGUAUUUUGAUUUUUGGUACUACAAAGGUAUCUCUUACCUUUUGGGUAAGAAACUAAUCUCUUUCGGGG